AUUGAACGCUGGCGGCAUGCUUUACACAUGCAAGUCGAACGGUAACAGGCCUUCGGGUGCUGACGAGUGGCGAACGGGUGAGUAAUGCAUCGGAACGUGCCCAGAGGUGGGGGAUAACGCAGCGAAAGCUGUGCUAAUACCGCAUGUGAUCUGAGGAUGAAAGCGGGGGACCAGGCAGCAAUGUUUGGCCUCGCGCCUUUGGAGCGGCCGAUGUCAGAUUAGGUAGUUGGUGGGGUAAAGGCCUACCAAGCCGACGAUCUGUAGCUGGUCUGAGAGGACGACCAGCCACACUGGGACUGAGACACGGCCCAGACUCCUACGGGAGGCAGCAGUGGGGAAUUUUGGACAAUGGGCGCAGGCCUGAUCCAGCAAUGCCGCGUGCGGGAAGAAGGCCUUCGGGUUGUAAACCGCUUUUGUACGGAACGAAAAGGCUCUGGCUAAUACCUGGGGCUGAUGACGGUACCGUAAGAAUAAGCACCGGCUAACUACGUG
rnacentral:rRNA from 1 species